rnacentral:rRNA from 1 species
GAUGAACGCUGGCGGCGUGCCUAAUACAUGCAAGUCGAGCGAACGGACGAGAAGCUUGCUUCUCUGAUGUUAGCGGCGGACGGGUGAGUAACACGUGGAUAACCUACCUAUAAGACUGGUAUAACUUCGGGAAACCGGAGCUAAUACCGGAUAAUAUUUUGAACCGCAUGGUUCAAAAGUGAAAGACGGUCUUGCUGUCACUUAUAGAUGGAUCCGCGCUGCAUUAGCUAGUUGGUAAGGUAACGGCUUACCAAGGCAACGAUGCAUAGCCGACCUGAGAGGGUGAUCGGCCACACUGGAACUGAGACACGGUCCAGACUCCUACGGGAGGCAGCAGUAGGGAAUCUUCCGCAAUGGGCGAAAGCCUGACGGAGCAACGACGCGUGAGUGAUGAAGGUCUUCGGAUCGUAAAACUCUGUUAUUAGGGAAGAACAUAUGUGUAAGUAACUGUGCACAUCUUGACGGUACCUAAUCAGAAAGCCACGGCUAACUACGUG